rnacentral:rRNA from 1 species
CCCAGUAAGUUGUAGGCCUAUCAGCUGGUAGUUAGGGUAAUGGCCUAACUAGGCGUAGACGGGAGACGGGGGAUCAGGGUUUGAUUCCGGAGAGGGAGCCUGAGAGAUGGCUACUACGUCCAAGGAUGGCAGCAGGCGCGAAACUUGCCUAAUCCUUUUUGGGGAGGCGGUUAUGAGAAGUAUGAUUAUUAUUUAGCGAGUAUAAAUGAGUUGUGAUUUAUUGGAGGGCAAGUCGGGUGCCAGCAGCCGCGGUAAUACCUGCUCCAAUAGUGUCUAUGGUGAAUGCUGCAGUUAAAAUGUCCGUAGUUGUGUAUGUAUUGUAUGUCUUUUAUGUGAUGUUUAUAGUUUUUAGUGGAUGUAGGGAAUUGUAGCAGAGGACGAGGGACACUGGAUAGUUGGGCGAGGGGUGAAAUAUGAAGACCCUGACUGGACGAAGUGAAGCGAAGGCUGUGCUCUUGGACUUAUGU